GACAGAGGGUGCAAACGUUGUUCGGAAUUACUGGGCGUAAAGCGCGUGUAGGCGGCCCUGCAAGUCGGGUGUGAAAUCCCAUGGCUCAACUAUGGUAGUGCACUCGAAACUGCAGGGCUAGAGUCCUGGAGAGGAAGGUGGAAUGCUUGGUGUAGAGGUGAAAUUCGUAGAUAUCAAGCGGAACACCGGUGGCGAAGGCGGCCUUCUGGACAGUGACUGACGCUGAGACGCGAAAGCGUGGGGAGCAAACAGG
rnacentral:rRNA from 1 species